rnacentral:tRNA from 1 species
UGGUUCAGAUGGUAAAGCAUCUGCCUGCAAUGCAGGAGACCCAGGUUCGAUCCCUGG